UCAUGACGAACGCUGGCGGCGUGCUUAACACAUGCAAGUCGAACGGAAAGGCCCUGCUUUUGUGGGGUGCUCGAGUGGCGAACGGGUGAGUAACACGUGAGUAACCUGCCCUUGACUUUGGGAUAACUUCAGGAAACUGGGGCUAAUACCGGAUAGGAGCUCCUGCUGCAUGGUGGGGGUUGGAAAGUUUCGGCGGUUGGGGAUGGACUCGCGGCUUAUCAGCUUGUUGGUGGGGUAGUGGCUUACCAAGGCUUUGACGGGUAGCCGGCCUGAGAGGGUGACCGGCCACAUUGGGACUGAGAUACGGCCCAGACUCCUACGGGAGGCAGCAGUGGGGAAUAUUGCACAAUGGGCGGAAGCCUGAUGCAGCAACGCCGCGUGCGGGAUGACGGCCUUCGGGUUGUAAACCGCUUUCGCCUGUGACGAAGCGUGAGUGACGGUAAUGGGUAAAGAAGCACCGGCUAACUACGUGCCAGCAGCCGCGGUGAUACGUAGGGUGCGAGCGUUGUCCGGAUUUAUUGGGCGUAAAGGGCUCGUAGGUGGUUGAUCGCGUCGGAAGUGUAAUCUUGGGGCUUAACCCUGAGCGUGCUUUCGAUACGGGUUGACUUGAGGAAGGUAGGGGAGAAUGGAAUUCCUGGUGGAGCGGUGGAAUGCGCAGAUAUCAGGAGGAACACCAGUGGCGAAGGCGGUUCUCUGGGCCUUUCCUGACGCUGAGGAGCGAAAGCGUGGGGAGCGAACAGGCUUAGAUACCCUGGUAGUCCACGCUGUAAACGGUGGGUACUAGGUGUGGGGUCCAUUCCACGGGUUCCGUGCCGUAGCUAACGCUUUAAGUACCCCGCCUGGGGAGUACGGCCGCAAGGCUAAAACUCAAAGGAAUUGACGGGGCCCCGCACAAGCGGCGGAGCAUGCGGAUUAAUUCGAUGCAACGCGUAGAACCUUACCUGGGUUUGACAUGGAUCGGGAGUGCUCAGAGAUGGGUGUGCCUCUUUUGGGGUCGGUUCACAGGUGGUGCAUGGCUGUCGUCAGCUCGUGUCGUGAGAUGUUGGGUUAAGUCCCGCAACGAGCGCAACCCUUGUUCACUGUUGCCAGCACGUUAUGGUGGGGACUCAGUGGAGACCGCCGGGGUCAACUCGGAGGAAGGUGGGGAUGACGUCAAGUCAUCAUGCCCCUUAUGUCCAGGGCUUCACGCAUGCUACAAUGGCUGGUACAGAGAGUGGCGAGCCUGUGAGGGUGAGCGAAUCUCGGAAAGCCGGUCUCAGUUCGGAUUGGGGUCUGCAACUCGACCUCAUGAAGUCGGAGUCGCUAGUAAUCGCAGAUCAGCAACGCUGCGGUGAAUACGUUCCCGGGGCUUGUACACACCGCCCGUCAAGUCAUGAAAGUUGGUAACACCCGAAGCCGGUGGCCUAACCGUUGUGGGGGAGCCGUCGAAGGUG
rnacentral:rRNA from 1 species